UGCCCUAGUAACGGCGAGUGAAGCGGCAAGAGCUCAAAUUUGAAAUCUGGCCCUCUCAGGGUCCGAGUUGUAAUUUGUAGAGGGCGCUUUGGCGUUGGCCCCGGCCUAAGUUCCUUGGAACAGGACGUCACAGAGGGUGAGAACCCCGUACGUGGCCGCCGGCCUCCGCCGUGUAAAGCCCCUUCGACGAGUCGAGUUGUUUGGGAAUGCAGCUCUAAAUGGGAGGUAAAUUUCUUCUAAAGCUAAAUACUGGCCAGAGACCGAUAGCGCACAAGUAGAGUGAUCGAAAGAUGAAAAGCACUUUGGAAAGAGAGUCAAAAAGCACGUGAAAUUGUUGAAAGGGAAGCGCUUGCAGCCAGACUUGCCUGUAGUUGCUCAUCCGAGCUCCCGCUCGGUGCACUCUUCUGCGGGCAGGCCAGCAUCAGUCCGGGCGGUCGGAUAAAGGCCUCGGGAAUGUAGCUCCCCUCGGGGAGUGUUAUAGCCCGGGGCGCCAUGCGACCAGCCUGGACUGAGGUCCGCGCAUCUGCUAGGAUGCUGGCGUAAUGGCUGUAAGCGGCCCGUCUUGAAACACGGACCAAGGAGUCUAACAUCUAUGCGAGUGUUUGGGUGUCAAGCCCGGGCGCGCAAUGAAAGUGAACGGAGGUGGGAACCCCUCGGGGCGCACCAUCGACCGAUCCUGAUGUCUUCGGAUGGAUUUGAGUAAGAGCAUAGCUGUUGGGACCCGAAAGAUGGUGAACUAUGCCUGAAUAGGGUGAAGCCAGAGGAAACUCUGGUGGAGGCUCGCAGCGGUUCUGACGUGCAAAUCGAUCGUCAAAUUUGGGCAUAGGGGCGAAAGACUA
rnacentral:rRNA from 1 species